rnacentral:rRNA from 1 species
UAGGGAAUCUUCCACAAUGGGCGCAAGCCUGAUGGAGCAACACCGCGUGAGUGAAGAAGGGUUUCGGCUCGUAAAGCUCUGUUGUUGGAGAAGAACGUAUCUGAGAGUAACUGUUCAGAUAGUGACGGUAUCCAACCAGAAAGUCACGGCUAACUGCGUGCCAGCAGCCGCGGUAAUACGUAGGUGGCAAGCGUUAUCCGGAUUUAUUGGGCGUAAAGGGAACGCAGGCGGUCUUUUAAGUCUGAUGUGAAAGCCUUCGGCUUAACCGGAGUAGUGCAUUGGAAACUGGGAGACUUGAGUGCAGAAGAGGAGAGUGGAACUCCAUGUGUAGCGGUGAAAUGCGUAGAUAUAUGGAAGAACACCAGUGGCGAAGGCGGCUGUCUGGUCUGCAACUGACGCUGAGGCUCGAAAGCAUGGGUAGCGAACAGG